ACCCCAGGCGCGGUCACUGCCGGCUCCCCCGCGACCCUCUGCGCCCCCUCCCCGGGGGGUGUGACCUCAGGCCACCCGGUGUGGCUGCUCAUCUUCACUUGACUCUUCCUCAACCCAGCCCGACCCGAGUCGUUUCCCCCAACGCCACACGCGAAGCCGGGUCUGCCCCCGCAGGAAGAGCCGAAGGACUCUGAGACUCACUGCUCGACUAUGUGUCGGGCAAAAGGGGAUCCACUCGGGCCCUGAGUUGCCAAAGCGCGGAGCCAGGGAUUCCCAAGAGCUUUGAAUGAAGACAUUUAAGAUUACUUCUAGUAACCUUGCUUGUCAAACCCAUGGUGGAUGUAAUUAACCAUCUGUGCUCGUAAAUCAGGAAACUGCAAAACUGUGAGAACACUCCGACGUCAAUUGAGGUGAUAUGGGGGCUGAAAUGUGAUUAGAGGAAACCUAAUCAAUUGUAUUUUAACCUCUUUGGUGGAUUAUCACAAAAGAGGUGGAUGGUAACCCUAGGACAGUGAGACUGUCCACUUUUCUGAGACUGGAGAUCAAUCUCUUAAUAGUAAAACGUAAAUAUUUUUAAAACUUCA
rnacentral:lncRNA from 1 species